UCCCGUACAGUCUAGCGGUUAAGAUGCCUGGUUUUUACCCAGGCAGCCUGGGUUCAACUCCCGGUAUGGGAG